rnacentral:rRNA from 1 species
UUGGAGGGCAAGUCUGGUGCCAGCAACCGCGGUAAUUCCAGCUCCAAUAGCGUAUAUUAAAGUUGUUGCAGUUAAAAAGCUCGUAGUUGAAUUUCGGGAUCAAUAUUUCGGUCAUGCCGUUGGUAUGCACUGUUAUCAUUGAUUUCUCACCUUCUAAAGAACCGUAAUGCCAUUAAUUUGGUGUUACGGGGAAUUAGGACUGUUACCUUGAAAAAAUUAGAGUGUUUAAAGCAGGCUCACGCUUGAAUACAUUAGCAUGGAAUAAUGAAAUAGGACAUCCGAUUCUAUUUUGUUGGUUUCUAGGAUCGAUGUAAUGAUUAAUAGGGAUAGUUGGGGGCAUUAGUAUUCAAUUGUCAGAGGUGAAAUUCUUGGAUUUAUUGAAGACUAACUACUGCGAAAGCAUUUGCCAAGGAUGUUUUCAUUAAUCAAGAACGAAAGUUAGGGGAUCGAAGACGAUCAGAUACCGUCGUAGUCUUAACCAUAAACUAUGCCGACUAGGGAUCGGAUGAUGUUAAUUUUUUAAUGACUCAUUCGGCGCCUUACGGGAAACA